GAGCGGUUUCUCUCAGGAUGCUUGCCAUGCAUGAUCUCACUUUGAUGGUUGAUGCAGUAGCACUUGGGUCAUGAGAAAAACAGAGCUGCUGUCAGUGACUACAAACCUCUUCACGUUGAAGAGUAAGACCUAGUGAGUAUCGGAGGAGCCGGAGGACGUUGCUUGUUUGUUUCCAUGGCGUUUCUUCAUCUGUUUUGACGACGACCAAGUACAGAUCGGGGUGAGAUGGUUUGAUGAAUGAAUGAUGUUUCAGAACUUGGGAUUUAUGGU